CUUCUGUAACUCCCCUAUAGGGUGGACAGUGAUGCCAGGGCUGAAGUGGCCAGUCGGCUAAUGUGGGGCAGACGUGCCUGUCCUUUGCUGAGAAGUCAUAUCCUACAGGGCCGACUGCGCCUCUGCAUUCAGACGGAGGGAACAGACCCUACGCGUUGGAGCUGGUGCCACAGAACAGAAGACAAGACCCAGCUGAGCACUGAGGAGACCCAGCUGAGCAGGAGCAGGAGACAGAGCCGC